rnacentral:sRNA from 1 species
CUACAAUAGGAUAAUUUUAUAAAUCUCAAUACAAUGCCGGCACUGGACAGAGCGAAGAGAAACAUUGGUAUGAGGCCCCCAUUUU